UUUCCUAUUUUCCUCAUUUUUUCAUUCAUAGCCCCUUCUUUCCUUUCUCCCUUCUCUACGCGAACGAACGCCCCAAAGCUUCUGCCACUUCUCUCCGAUUUCAAACCUUCACUAGACCUCGAAGCCUGAUCCUCUCGUAACCCAUCUCCUCGCUCCACGCCGUCGCUCUCGCCGUGGCCCGUGCCCAUCGCCAUCCUCGCAAAUCUCCUUCCUCACCGUCAGCCAUGCACCAGCCUCUCGGAUCUCCUUUCUACCUGAAGCUCCCCUCUUCCUUCAAAGCUCUCUCUCUUCAUUCUUUCUCUAAAAAACUCCUCUGCGAGUGAAACUAUAGGUCCUUCAACUUUCAUUCUUUCUUCACCCUCUGAUCUCCAAAUGAAAACCAAAGACCUAGCUCUACUACCCAGCCAAACCUCCUAAGUCUCGUACUCCCUCUUGUUCUCUUUCUUCCCAGUUCAAUGAAACCGAGAGCCUUACCAAUCUUGAUCGUGGCGAGGCAAGAUGGGAGAUCAGAGCUCUCCUUGGGCUCGAAAGGUUCGAAACCUCAGGGGUGAAGACUUGCCUAACCACACAGAUAAGUCACUUUUCCUCUUCUUCUAUUUCUCGACUUCUUUGUUUUUUUCUGUUUUCUCUUUCAAGAUUUGAUUAGUGUGUGGAACUCGUGCGUGAUUCAUGAGUGUUGUUGUUCUAAUCUGUUGUGAUAAGUCUAGUUGAUGACGAUUCUGGUUCUAGAGCUUUGGUCGCAGGUCUCAAGUUGAAAACGAGUCAACUCGUUUUCAACUCAGUGGGUCAAGGUAAGAGUUGACUCGUAUGAGUCAACUCGUUUGUGUGGGUGGACUCGGACAAGUCUGAGUGAGUCACACGCCUAUAAGCGCGUGUGGGUGAGUCAUGUGUGGGCUGAGGGAGUUGGGAUCUAUUUGGGCCUCAUUAGUUUUUUUAUAGGCUUUGGGUAAUUUUAAAAAUGGGCCUGGCUCGGGGUUAAUUUUAAAAUGGGAUGUGGGUGAUUUUUAAAAUGGGCCGACCCGGUUUGAUUCUUAAAACAGAAUGGCCUAGGGGCAAGUUAUCAAGUGGGCUUAAGGGUCAGUCGGGCUUCUAGUCAAUCCUCUAAGUCAUGGUUUUAAAAGAGAGUUGGGCUGGGUUAAAAUGAAAUUGGCCAGGGUAUUUUGCAAGUUUAGGCUCGAUUUUUAGUUAGAGAUCCGGGCUUGGUUUUUAGUUAGAAAGUUGGGCUUGGGGUUUAAUUAAAAACAAUAGGGCUUUGGGUUGGAGCUGGGGAUCGGGUUUUAAGGGUUCGUUUUAGGGUCCAUGGGAUCCGAGUUUCAAUUUGGGUACGGGUUGUGGACUUGGUUCGGAUCAAAGAAUCCAAAUCCUGGUUCGAGUUUGAGAGAACUGGGGGUUGAUUUGAUUCAGAAACAACUCAGGUUCAGGACUGAACCUGAUACUCAUACGGGGGCACUGCAUUCUCAUACACAUAUAUCCAAUAAUGAUCUUAAGGAUUGAACGAAACAAAGGGGGGACUAAAUGCUUUUACCUCCCCUUAUUAUCUGCUCCUGUCUUUGUUCCCAAUUUUUCCAUGUGUGUCUGAGUGAUUAUUCUAGUGGUGGUGAGCUUAUGAGUUUUUGAAUUCCUACUUCAGGUUCUUGAGGCUGCCCUUUGAAUUGCCUUCGGACCCCAAAGAGGUCCUCCUAUAUUUUUCUCUGAUUCUACUCUCUUCCCUAGCUCCUUUCUACUCUUCUACAAUUUGGCAGAGUUUCUCCCCCCUUUCCUUCUUCAAACUGGUAGAACCUCCCCUCUCUUUCUAAUUUCUUUCCCUCUUAAUUCUUGCAGGAUUUCCAUCCAUGAUCUCUGAGGGGUGUCUGUCUACAGUGCGAGCCUCCCUAUUUAUAUUUAUAGGGAGGCUUUGGGGGUAUUUGGCGCCAAUUUCUUCUUCUGCUAACCAAUUUCCCCACCAACAAACUUGGCGACGAUUAAUUCCUUUCCCUCCGCACACAUGGUUUAAGGGGGAUACUUCAUCAGCUUUGCCAGAUGGUAAUCGUGGAUUGGAGGGCUUGUAUUUUUUAUUUCCUGUAUUUUUUCUUUUGGAUGUGGAUGUACCGCCGUAUUUAUUACCCUGCAUCCAUUCUUUGUACCCUUUGUAUUUCCCUGCACUCGGCACUUUAUUUCCCUCUAAUUUGGUACUGUAUGCAUGUGUCCUAUUUUGGAUUUUUAUUAUUAUUAUUAUUAUUCCUUUUUUUAAGUGUUCUAUUGUAAAAUCCCUGCACAUGCAUCCCCCUAUAUGUACCUGCACAAUACUUGCAUGUGCUCCUCCCUCUUUAAUAAAACAUGUGAUGUAUGCUUUCCAAUUUU